rnacentral:lncRNA from 1 species
CUAACGCCUAAGAUGCCUAAGACUUUAGCGAUCCACAGUUGAUACACCAAGAACUCACCCCCAUCGGAUUUGGCUUCUCUUUCACAUUUUGAAAAGCUUUUUCAUCUUCUUCAACACUAGAAAACCAGGACAUUCCAUCACCAGCCCCUUAACUAGCGACACUUCAUUUCUUCAACUCCACCACCAAUUCCGGCCACCAGACGCCGCUGCUUCCCCCUUUAGAUCCAUCAUCUUCCCUUUUCACUAAAUUGAAUAAACAUACACAGAGAGCCACAAUCCCUCCGCCCAUUCCCUCCAUUUGACAACCAAAACAGCCGCACCACCUAGCAUGAGAGGAAGGGACGAAAAAUUGGAUAGAACCUCUGGAUAAGAACUAGGGACAGAAAUUUCAGUUCUUCUUCGUUUCUAUUUGGACUUCAAAUUUGAAAUACAAAAAUCAAAAAUAAUUUCAAUUUCUGUUUCGAUUUUCCUUCAAGGACUUUUUCUGAAAUUUGGUUUUGAGUUCGUCGCCGAUUUGAGCUGAGGUGCCGAUUCGAAGGUGGCUCGUAACUCUGUUCGAGUUUGAUCACGGUUUUGGAUUUUGCUUGUAGCUGCGCUAUCCGGUCCGUUGUAAUAUGCUGAAAAUUUCAUCAAUUGAAAGCUUUAUUUAAGGUCCAUAAUCUUCUCUUUCUCUUUGUUAUAACUCUAGUUAUGAGUGAUUUCAAAAUAUGACGUUGUCUCAUUCCUUCUAGGAUUCCUAUCUUUGUCAAAACACCAAUGAAGUUGUUGGAUUAAUUUUAGUUAAGUUUAAUUUUAGCUGAUGGGUAGUGUUCUUUUUGUUAGAUUUGAAAUGGAAAGCUUGAAUUCAAGACUAAAGUGUUAAAAUAAAAUGUUCCUUUUUUUGGUAUUCUGCAUUUUCUCCAUAGUAAUAAUACUUGUAGGCAAGUUGGAAUUUGAUAUUGAGACGUUUAAUUAGUAAAGAGUGUACACCAAAAUGAUUUUUUUUAAAUUGUAAUUAUUAUCAUGUUCAUCAGUGUUGUUGUUUUGUUAUUUUGAUGAUAAUUUUAGGAUGAUUCUUAUGGUUUGAACAAUUGAUUUGGUUAUGUUACUUUAGUAUGUCUCUGUAGUUUCUAAAAGAUACAAUCUUUUGUGAUGAAAUGACUUGAUUCUCAUUCUUAUUUGGUCACUAAUGAAUCCUGGUAUUCGCCUUUAGGAAGGAUUUUGGAAUAUGUAGUUUAAACUUCAUAAGCCUCAUUUGGUAGCUUGCAUCGGGAUUUUAAGUUGGUAAAAGAUGGAGAGUGAUUUCAAAAUAUGACGUUGUCUCAUUCCUUCUAGGCUUCCUAUCUUUGUCAAAACACCAAUGAAGCUGUUGGAUUAAUUUUAGUUAAGUUUAGUUCGAUUUUUUUUAUCUUGUUCCUUCUCUUUGCCUCUUGUUUGGGAUUCCAGAAAACGUUUUGGCAAGUUUGAAUUAGUCAUUUUCAUUAUGAAAUCUCUUUUCAUGUUAUUCUUUUAAUUCUUAGUCAUCGAGUCUUUAUAAAAUUCUUUAUAUCAAUUUGGAAUGUAUAUGUCAUUAGUGGUUAUGUCACUAAGAGUAUUUUUAUUUACGCUAAGGGGUGGUGAUGUUUUCCUUUCUUUGAAGUUUUGAGUUGAUGCAUUAGUACUGAUUUGAUUGACUGGUUGUUUUCAAGAUGACUUUUCUAAAAUAGGUGUAUAUUUAGGCUUAACAAUUUGAUUUUCUGUCAGAAGAAAAGGAAAAAGAACAAAGGAAGAGAAAGUGAUGAAAAGUUCUCUGCUAGCUUGAAUUCCAUUGAGUUGGUUGGAAAUUUUGUGUAAUAAUGGUUAUCAUAGCAUCUCAUGCUUAUUAAAAUCAGUGAAAUUUGAAUUUCGUUUUCAUAGUAGCCUACGUUAGUUCCCUAAGAGUCUCUAAUGAGCCAACAUCAUAUUUUUGAUCCACUUCUCAAUUAUGCUACACUGUUAUUGUUCUUUAUCUUAGCGUGC